AUCUCAACGAAGGCCACUGCACUGAAGGCAGUGGCAUAUAAGGUACGUGUUUUCACUAUAAGCAUCUGUGUGCAAUUUUGUGAUGGAUUAGGGGACAUGUGUGAAGAAAAAUAUUUCCAUACGGAGGAAAACGACUGGUCAUCUCAAUAUCACGAAGCAUGUUAAAAAGCAUGCUUUUCUUGUUCUUUAUGUAGUUUACGAUUAUGCACUUGCAGCUAGGCUAGUUCUCAGAAUGUAGGUGGAGGCGCGCACAACGGACACACUACGUCAGUUGUUUGAAAAAAAGAAACUAAUUGUCAGUCUGCACUCGUAUCAUGCACUUCGUUUUGUCCUUCGUCCAGGUUGCGCUGUACACCCAUAGGAAUGUGUUCAGUCACCAACUCGCCCGGCUUGCUGUGUUAAUACAAUCUUCAACCUGAAUAUGUCAAGCUUACUGUUGUGUUAGUAUUGUUUUACAACACUUGGUCGAAUUUGCACAGGAAUAGAAUUCAAUAUUUUCAUUAUUACCUCUGUAAAUUACGUGGUAAUAAAUACAUGGUGAUGGUAUUUAUUUUUCUGCACUGCCUUUCUUUUUGGCGCAUUGGUCAGACCUGCCGCAUGAAACUUGCUCUCUACACCAAUGUUUUGCGUGGUUUUCUAUUUAAUAAGUCUCUUCGCGGUUGCGCCGCCAACAGUCUCAAAGUGCCUUUCGUACGGCCACAGCACUUUUGGAUGGACUUCCAUGCUGCUCGUGGCCGCUGCACUCAAGGCUAUUGCUACCCGGGAUCUGAAGAAGUAGGUGAAAAGCAGAUGUGGGCGGAUGUUGUCGACGAUGCACGAACUCGAAACAGCGAAGUACUACCACAUCUGGGACCUGGCCCUGAGCGCGCUCCCCGUGGUAGAUGCCGACAACUACCUGACUGGCCAUGGUGUAUUGUUGCUGGUUUACGUGGUAUGCUCCAGCCACGUGGUCUUUACGAAGGCCACUGCACUGAAAGCAGUGGCAUCUAAGCACUUUUGGAUGGACUUCCAUGCUGCUCGUGGCCGCUGCACUCAAGGCUAUUGCUACCCGGGAUCUGAAGUAGGUGAAAAGCAGAUGUGGGCGGAUGUUGUCGACGAUGCACGAACUCGAAACAGCGAAGUACUACCACAUCUGGGACCUGGCCCUGAGCGCGCUCCCCGUGGUAGAUGCCGACAACUACCUGACUGGCCAUGGUGUAUUGUUGCUGGUUUACGUGGUAUGCUCCAGCCACGUGGUCUUUACGAAGGCCACUGCACUGAAAGCAGUGGCAUCUAAGGUACGUGUUUUCACUAUAAGCAUCUGUGUGCAAUUUUGUGAUGGAUUAGGGGACAUGUGUGAAGAAAAAUAUUUCCAUACGGAGGAAAACGACUGGUCACCUCAAUAUCACGAAGCAUGUUAAAAAGCAUGCUUUUCUUGUUCUUUAUGUAGUUUACGAUUAUGUAUUGCAGCUAGGCUAGUUCUCAGACUGGAGGUGGAGGCACACACAACGGACACACUACGUCAGUUGUUUGAAAAAAAGAAACUAAUUGUCAGUCUGCACUCGUAUCAUGCACUUCGUUUUGUCCUUCGUCCAGGUUGCGCUGUACACCCAUAGGAAUGUGUUCAGUCACCAACUCGCCCGGCUUGCUGUGUUAAUACAAUCUUCAACCUGAAUAUGUCAAGCUUACUGUUGUGUUAGUAUUGUUUUACAACACUUGGUCGAAUUUGCACAGGAAUAGAAUUCAAUAUUUUCAUUAUUACCUCUGUAAAUUACGUGGUAAUAAAUACAUGGUGAUGGUAUUUAUUUUUCUGCACUGCCUUUCUUUUUGGCGCAUUGGUCAGACCUGCCGCAUGAAACUUGCUCUCUACACCAAUGUUUUGCGUGGUUUUCUAUUUAAUAAGCCUCUUAAUUCCUUUACUAUUUACGUUUUUCUUGGUUCUCGUUCCCAGAUUGCGGUCGCGCCGCCUACGGUAUCCAAAUGUAUUUCUUACUGCCAUGGCAGUUUUGGUUGGACCGUAGUCCUCAUCGUGGCCGCAGCACUGAAGGCGAUGGCCACCCAGGAGGCUAAAAAGUUUGUCCGGAACAUACGUGGAGGGUGGCGGGGAACGGCGAUCCGCGCACUCGAGGAGGCGACCGUUUACCACAUCGGGGACGUAGCCUUAAGCGCGCUCCCCGUUGUCGACGCGGACAACCACCCGACGGCCCAUGGAGCGCUGCUCCUCAUUUAUGUUGCAUGCGCCACCCAAGUGGCCAUAAACAAGGCCGCUGCACUGAAGGCAGUGGCAUCUAAGCACUUUUGGAUGGACUUCCAUGCUGCUCGUGGCCGCUGCACUCAAGGCUAUUGCUACCCGGGAUCUGAAGAAGUAGGUGAAAAGCAGAUGUGGGCGGAUGUUGUCGACGAUGCACGAACUCGAAACAGCGAAGUACUACCACCUCGGGGACCUGGCCCUGAGCGCGCUCCCCGUGGUAGAUGCCGACAACUACCUGACUGGCCAUGGUGUAUUGUUGCUGGUUUACGUGGUAUGCUCCAGCCACGUGGUCUUUACGAAGGCCACUGCACUGAAAGCAGUGGCAUCUAAGGUACGUGUUUUCACUAUAAGCAUCUGUGUGCAAUUUUGUGAUGGAUUAGGGGACAUGUGUGAAGAAAAAUAUUUCCAUACGGAGGAAAACGACUGGUCAUCUCAAUAUCACGAAGCAUGUUAAAAAGCAUGCUUUUCUUGUUCUUUAUGUAGUUUACGAUUAUGUAUUGCAGCUAGGCUAGUUCUCAGGCUGGAGGUGGAGGCACACACAACGGACACACUACGUCAGUUGUUUGAAAAAAAGAAACUAAUUGUCAGUCUGCACUCGUAUCAUGCACUUCGUUUUGUCCUUCGUCCAGGUUGCGCUGUACACCCAUAGGAAUGUGUUCAGUCACCAACUCGCCCGGCUUGCUGUGUUAAUACAAUCUUCAACCUGAAUAUGUCAAGCUUACUGUUGUGUUAGUAUUGUUUUACAACACUUGGUCGAAUUUGCACAGGAAUAGAAUUCAAUAUUUUCAUUAUUACCUCUGUAAAUUACGUGGUAAUAAAUACAUGGUGAUGGUAUUUAUUUUUCUGCACUGCCUUUCUUUUUGGCGCAUUGGUCAGACCUGCCGCAUGAAACUUGCUCUCUACACCAAUGUUUUGCGUGGUUUUCUAUUUAAUAAGUCUCUUAAUUCCUUUACUAUUUACGUUUUUCUUGGUUCUCGUUCCCAGAUUGCGGUCGCGCC